GUAACACGUGGGUAACCUGCCUGUAAGACUGGGAUAACUCCGGGAAACCGGGGCUAAUACCGGAUGCUUGAUUGAACCGCAUGGUUCAAUCAUAAAAGGUGGCUUUUAGCUACCACUUACAGAUGGACCCGCGGCGCAUUAGCUAGUUGGUGAGGUAACGGCUCACCAAGGCGACGAUGCGUAGCCGACCUGAGAGGGUGAUCGGCCACACUGGGACUGAGACACGGCCCAGACUCCUACGGGAGGCAGCAGUAGGGAAUCUUCCGCAAUGGACGAAAGUCUGACGGAGCAACGCCGCGUGAGUGAUGAAGGUUUUCGGAUCGUAAAACUCUGUUGUUAGGGAAGAACAAGUACCGUUCGAAUAGGGCGGUACCUUGACGGUACCUAACCAGAAAGCCACGGCUAACUACGUGCCAGCAGCCGCGGUAAUACGUAGGUGGCAAGCGUUGUCCGGAAUUAUUGGGCGUAAAGCGCGCGCAGGCGGUUUCUUAAGUCUGAUGUGAAAGCCCCCGGCUCAACCGGGGAGGGUCAUUGGAAACUGGGGAACUUGAGUGCAGAAGAGGAGAGUGGAAUUCCACGUGUAGCGGUGAAAUGCGUAGAGAUGUGCAGGAACACCAGUGGCGAAGGCGACUCUCUGGUCUGUAACUGACGCUGAGGCGCGAAAGCGUGGGGAGCGAACAGGAUUAGAUACCCUGGUAGUCCACGCCGUAAACGAUGAGUGCUAAGUGUUAGAGGGUUUCCGCCCUUUAGUGCUGCAGCAAACGCAUUAAGCACUCCGCCUGGGUAGUACCGGUCGCAAGACUGAUACUCCUAGGGAAUUGACGGGA
rnacentral:rRNA from 1 species